CCUAGAAAGAUUCAACGAACUUUAGAGACAAUAGAGAGUUAUUGRUCGRCCAAUACGUUCAUGCAGUAUUAUAGUUUGCGCUAUUUUGACACAAACGCCUGCGCAAAUCAGUCUAAAAAAUAAAUACUGUUCUGUGGUAUUUGUGCCCCAACACUGCACGUUUUAUUUUCUACCUUAAACUGGCAGUUGACAUUUCUGACGUCCGCUUGCAGGUUAUUUCAUUAUAAACAUAACCCAGUUUCACCCAUUUCCAAUUGACACUUGUUUACAUAUGUAAACAUUACGUUUAACUACGUAUUAAAUCUUGUAUUACUCAUACAAUUGGUUCAAAAUGCCACAUUUUUGCAGUGCCGUUAAAUGAUCAAUGCGUGCUGAACGAGAUACGGUUUCUUUUUUCCGAUUUUAGCGAGACAUAGAAAGAGAGAUCAUCUGAAUGCUUUCUCUAGUGAACGUCGAAAUGCUUGUGUUAAGGCUUUAAAACGGGUGCCUCUAAGUGAAAUCUAUAUGAGAAAUGUUCGUAUUUGCCUAGGACAUUUCAUAACUGGAAAACCAGCUGCCUUGGAAGACAAAACUAAUCCAGAUGUGUUGCCCAACGAAAAUUUAGGAAACAUUUGUAGUCUCUAACCGGGUCAAUCUGCCUGCCUACUCCCUAUUUAAAAGCUGCUGCUUUUAGGUCCGAGCUGAAGUUGUUUCUGCAUGGUGCACAAGAAUUUGAUAGUGUUUCACAAUUUAUUGAAGAAAUUUGAGCAAAGUAGAUUUAUGGAAGCUGUGUUAGUGAGUCAGUUCAAACUGAUGUACCUAACUGAAGAAUAUUCAAGUCGUGUUUUUCAGAAUUGAGAUUUUUGCAAUUCAAUAAUGUACACCUUGCAAGCAAAAGUUCAAGUGAUGGAUGUAAAUGAGAAUUAUGUUAAAAAUAAAUGCUUUAUCCCUAA